UCGAAGACGUGAUGUGGAGCGAAAUAAAGUAGUGAAGCGUGUGAGCCAUGUGCCGAGAAAAGCUGCUAUUGUGUAAUGCGUGCCCGUACCGUAAACCGACACAGGUGGAUGAGGAGAGAAUCCUAAGGCCGACAGAAGAAGCAUUGUUAAGGAAUUCGGCAAAAUGACCCCGUAACUUCGGGAGAAGGGGUGCCUGCGAGAGCAGGCCGCAGAGAAUAGGCUCAAGCAACUGUUUAGCAAAAACACAGGUCUAUGCGAAACCGAAAGGUGAAGUAUAUGGGCUGACGCCUGCCCGGUGCUGGAAGGUUAAGAGGAAAGGUUAGCGUAAGCGAAGCCUUGAAUUUAAGCCCCAGUAAACGGCGGCCGUAACUAUAACGGUCCUAAGGUAGCGAAAUUCCUUGUCGGGUAAGUUCCGACCCGCACGAAAGGCGUAAUGAUUUGAGCACUGUCUCGACAAUGCAUCCGGUGAAAUUGAAGUACCAGUGAAGAUGCUGGUUACCCGCGCCAGGACGGAAAGACCCCAUGGAGCUUUACUCCAGUUUGAUACUGGGAUUCGGUACUGCAUGUACAGGAUAGGUGGGAGACGAAGAAGGAUGGACGCCAGUCUGUCCGGAGUCGCUGUUGGGAUACCACCCCUGUAGUACUGGGUUUCUAACCAGUUGCCAUGAACUGGCAAUGGGACAAUGUCAGGCGGGGAGUUUGACUGGGGCGGUCGCCUCCGAAAGGGUAUCGGAGGCGCUCAAAGGUUCCCUCAGAAUGGUUGGAAACCAUUUGAAGAGUGCAAAGGCAGAAGGGAGCUUGACUGCGACACCGACGGGUGGAGCAGGUACGAAAGUAGGACUUAGUGAUCCGGUGGUAUAAAGUGGGAUUGCCAUCGCUCAACGGAUAAAAGCUACCCUGGGAUAACAGGCUUAUCACUCCCAAGAGUUCACAUCGACGGAGUGGUUUGGCACCUCGAUGUCGGCUCAUCGCAUCCUGGGGCUGUAGCAGGUCCCAAGGGUUGGGCUGUUCGCCCAUUAAAGCGGUACGCGAGCUGGGUUCAGAACGUCGUGAGACAGUUCGGUCCCUAUCCGGCGCGGGCGGAGGAUAUUUGAGAGGAGCUGUCCUUAGUACGAGAGGACCGGGAUGGACGGACCACUGGUGUAUCUGUUGUCGACCAACGGCAUGGCAGAGUAGCCAAGUCUGGAAGGGAUAAACGCUGAAGGCAUCUAAGCGUGAAGCCCCCCUCAAGAUGAGAUAUCCCUCCUUCGGGAGUAAGACCCCUUGAAGACUACAAGGUAGAUAGGGCAGAGGUGGAAGCAUGGCAACAUGUGGAGCUGACUGUUACUAAUAGGUCGAGGGCUUAAU
rnacentral:rRNA from 1 species